UAGGAUGCUUAUGGUGUUCAUCCAGUAUAGUUUGGUUCAACUACUGACAUGUCCUUGUGUUCUCUGUCUUCCAGGGUUAAUGCGAUGUAGCAAGAGCUGCAGGCUCCGCUGGACAAACUACCUUAGGCCAGGGAUCAAGCGCGGCAACUUCACCGAUCAGGAAAAUAGAAUCAUAAUCCACCUCCAAGCUCUUCUAGGCAAUAGGUCGAACACUAUGCUUACAGUCUCUUAUACUGACCUGAUUUGAAGUUUAGCUGCUUUGUUGUGUUGCUCCAUGCAGAUGGGCAGCCAUUGCCUCUUAUCUCCCUCAAAGAACAGACAACGAUAUCAAGAAUCACUGGAACACCCACCUGAAGAAGAAGCUCAGGAAGGUCGAAGCCGACGGGAACGGCCCGAAGCCAUCCAUCUCCCGGGGGAAGUGGGAGAGGAGUCUGCAGACUGACAUCCACAAGGCAAGGCGAGCUC
rnacentral:lncRNA from 1 species